rnacentral:rRNA from 1 species
AACGAACGCUGGCGGCAGGCCUAACACAUGCAAGUCGAACGCCGUAGCAAUACGGAGUGGCAGACGGGUGAGUAACACGUGGGAACAUACCCUUCGGUUCGGAAUAACUCAGGGAAACUUGAGCUAAUACCGGAUACGUCCGCGAGGAGAAAGAUUCAUCGCCGGAGGAUUGGCCCGCGUCUGAUUAGCUUGUUGGUGAGGUAAUGGCUCACCAAGGCGACGAUCAGUAGCUGGUCUGAGAGGAUGAUCAGCCACAUUGGGACUGAGACACGGCCCAAACUCCUACGGGAGGCAGCAGUGGGAAUAUUGGACAAUGGGCGCAAGCCUGAUCCAGCCAUGCCGCGUGAGUGAUGAAGGCCCUAGGGUUGUAAAGCUCUUUUACCCGGGAAGAUAAUGACUGUACCGGGAGAAU